rnacentral:rRNA from 1 species
AUUGAACGCUGGCGGCAGGCUUAACACAUGCAAGUCGAGCGGUAACAUUUCUAGCUUGCUAGAAGAUGACGAGCGGCGGACGGGUGAGUAAUACUUAGGAAUCUACCUAGUAGUGGGGGAUAGCUCGGGGAAACUCGAAUUAAUACCGCAUACGACCUACGGGAGAAAGGGGGCAGUUUACUGCUCUCGCUAUUAGAUGAGCCUAAGUCGGAUUAGCUAGAUGGUGGGGUAAAGGCCUACCAUGGCGACGAUCUGUAGCUGGUCUGAGAGGAUGAUCAGCCACACCGGGACUGAGACACGGCCCGGACUCCUACGGGAGGCAGCAGUGGGGAAUAUUGGACAAUGGGGGCAACCCUGAUCCAGCCAUGCCGCGUGUGUGAAGAAGGCCUUUUGGUUGUAAAGCACUUUAAGCAGUGAAGAAGACUCCGUGGUUAAUACCCACGGACGAUGACAUUAGCUGCAGAAUAAGCACCGGCUAACUCUGUGCCAGCAGCCGCGGUAAUACAGAGGGUGCAAGCGUUAAUCGGAAUUACUGGGCGUAAAGGGAGCGUAGGUGGCUCGAUAAGUCAGAUGUGAAAUCCCCGGGCUUAACCUGGGAACUGCAUCUGAUACUGUUGAGCUAGAGUAUGUGAGAGGAAGGUAGAAUUCCAGGUGUAGCGGUGAAAUGCGUAGAGAUCUGGAGGAAUACCGAUGGCGAAGGCAGCCUUCUGGCAUAAUACUGACACUGAGGCUCGAAAGCGUGGGUAGCAAACAGGAUUAGAUACCCUGGUAGUCCACGCCGUAAACGAUGUCUACUAGUCGUUGGGUCCCUUGAGGACUUAGUGACGCAGCUAACGCAAUAAGUAGACCGCCUGGGGAGUACGGCCGCAAGGUUAAAACUCAAAUGAAUUGACGGGGGCCCGCACAAGCGGUGGAGCAUGUGGUUUAAUUCGAUGCAACGCGAAGAACCUUACCUGGUCUUGACAUAUCUAGAAUCCUGCAGAGAUGCGGGAGUGCCUUCGGGAAUUAGAAUACAGGUGCUGCAUGGCUGUCGUCAGCUCGUGUCGUGAGAUGUUGGGUUAAGUCCCGCAACGAGCGCAACCCUUGUCCUUAGUUACCAGCGGGUUAAGCCGGGAACUCUAAGGAUACUGCCAGUGACAAACUGGAGGAAGGCGGGGACGACGUCAAGUCAUCAUGGCCCUUACGACCAGGGCUACACACGUGCUACAAUGGUAGGUACAGAGGGCAGCUACACAGCGAUGUGAUGCGAAUCUCAAAAAGCCUAUCGUAGUCCAGAUUGGAGUCUGCAACUCGACUCCAUGAAGUAGGAAUCGCUAGUAAUCGCGGAUCAGAAUGCCGCGGUGAAUACGUUCCCGGGCCUUGUACACACCGCCCGUCACACCAUGGGAGUUGAUUGCACCAGAAGUGGAUAGCCUAACCUUCGGGAAGGCGUUCACCACGGUGUGGUUGAUGACUGGGGUG